rnacentral:rRNA from 1 species
AAAUGAAUAGACGGGGACCCGCACAAGCAGUGGAGCAUGUUGUUUAAUUCGAUGAAACGCGAAAAACCUUACCAAGACUUGACAUUUGAUGCAUAGACUGGAAACAGUUGAAAUUAUAGCAAUAUAACAUCAAAACAGAUGGUGCAUGGUUGUCGUCAGUUCGUGUCGUGAGAUGUUGGGUUAAGUCCCGCAACGAGCGCAACCCUUGUCAUUAGUUGCCAAUAUUAAGUUAGGAACUCUAAUGAGACUGCCGUAGGUAAUACGGAGGAAGGUGGGGAUGACAGUAAAUCAGCAUGCCUCUUACGUCUUGGGCUACAAACGUGCUACAAUGGUAGAUACAAAGAGACGCAAAGCAGUAAUGUGGAGCAAAUCUCAAAAAAUCUAUCCCAGUUCGGAUUGUGGGCUGCAACUCGCCCACAUGAAGUCGGAAUUGCUAGUAAUCCCGAAUCAGCAUGUCGGGGUGAAUGCGUUCUCGGGUCUUGUACACACCGCCCGU